rnacentral:sRNA from 1 species
ACUGGAUGUAGUGGUAUGCACCUGUAGUUCUAACUACUUGGGAGGUUGAGUUAGGAAGAUCACUUGAGCUUAGGAGUUCAAGGCCAACCUGGGCAACAUAGUGAGACUCCAUCCCCC